UACGAAGGGGGCUAGCGUUGCUCGGAAUUACUGGGCGUAAAGGGCGCGUAGGCGGCACUGUUAGUCAGGCGUGAAAGUCCUGGGCUCAACCUGGGAACUGCGCUUGAUACGGCAGAGCUAGAGGAUGGAAGAGGCUCGCGGAAUUCCCAGUGUAGAGGUGAAAUUCGUAGAUAUUGGGAAGAACACCGGUGGCGAAGGCAGCUUGCUACACAAUUAUUGACUCUGAUGCACGAAAGCGUGGGGAUCAAACAGG
rnacentral:rRNA from 1 species